ACCAGUACCGUGAGGGAAAGGCGAAAAGAACCCCGGCGAGGGGAGUGAAAAAGAACCUGAAACCGUGUACGUACAAGCAGUGGGAGCACCCUUUUGGGUGUGACUGCGUACCUUUUGUAUAAUGGGUCAGCGACUUAUAUUCUGUAGCAAGGUUAACCGCAUAGGGGAGCCGGAGGGAAACCGAGUCUUAAUUGGGCGUUAAGUUGCAGGGUAUAGACCCGAAACCCGGUGAUCUAGCCAUGGGCAGGUUGAAGGUUGGGUAACACUAACUGGAGGACCGAACCGACUAAUGUUGAAAAAUUAGCGGAUGACCUGUGGCUGGGGGUGAAAGGCCAAUCAAACCGGGAGAUAGCUGGUUCUCCCCGAAAGCUAUUUAGGUAGCGCCUCGUGAAUUCAUCUCCGGGGGUAGAGCACUGUUUCGGCUAGGGGGCCAUCCCGGCUUACCAACCCGAUGCAAACUGCGAAUACCGGAGAAUGUUAUCACGGGAGACACACGGCGGGUGCUAACGUCCGUCGUGAAGAGGGAAACAACCCAGACCGCCAGCUAAGGUCCCAAAGUCAUGGUUAAGUGGGAAACGAUGUGGGAAGGCCCAGACAGCCAGGAUGUUGGCUUAGAAGCAGCCAUCAUUUAAAGAAAGCGUAAUAGCUCACUGGUCGAGUCGGCCUGCGCGGAAGAUGUAACGGGGCUAAACCAUGCACCGAAGCUGCGGCAGCGACGCUUAUGCGUUGUUGGGUAGGGGAGCGUUCUGUAAGCCUGCGAAGGUGGCCUGUGAGGGUUGCUGGAGGUAUCAGAAGUGCGAAUGCUGACAUAAGUAACGAUAAAGCGGGUGAAAAGCCCGCUCGCCGGAAGACCAAGGGUUCCUGUCCAACGUUAAUCGGGGCAGGGUGAGUCGACCCCUAAGGCGAGGCCGAAAGGCGUAGUCGAUGGGAAACGGGUUAAUAUUCCCGUACUUGGUGUUACUGCGAAGGGGGGACGGAGAAGGCUAUGUUGGCCGGGCGACGGUUGUCCCGGUUUAAGCGUGUAGGUGUGUGUUCCAGGUAAAUCCGGUUCACUUUAACACUGAGGCGUGACGACGAGGCACUACGGUGCUGAAGCAACAAAUGCCCUGCUUCCAGGAAAAGCCUCUAAGCAUCAGGUAACAUCAAAUCGUACCCCAAACCGACACAGGUGGUCAGGUAGAGAAUACCAAGGCGCUUGAGAGAACUCGGGUGAAGGAACUAGGCAAAAUGGUGCCGUAACUUCGGGAGAAGGCACGCUGACACGUAGGUGAAGUGAUUUACUCAUGGAGCUGAAGUCAGUCGAAGAUACCAGCUGGCUGCAACUGUUUAUUAAAAACACAGCACUGUGCAAACACGAAAGUGGACGUAUACGGUGUGACGCCUGCCCGGUGCCGGAAGGUUAAUUGAUGGGGUCAGCGCAAGCGAAGCUCCUGAUCGAAGCCCCGGUAAACGGCGGCCGUAACUAUAACGGUCCUAAGGUAGCGAAAUUCCUUGUCGGGUAAGUUCCGACCUGCACGAAUGGCGUAAUGAUGGCCAGGCUGUCUCCACCCGAGACUCAGUGAAAUUGAACUCGCUGUGAAGAUGCAGUGUACCCGCGGCAAGACGGAAAGACCCCGUGAACCUUUACUAUAGCUUGACACUGAACAUUGAGCCUUGAUGUGUAGGAUAGGUGGGAGGCUUUGAAGUGUGGACGCCAGUCUGCAUGGAGCCGACCUUGAAAUACCACCCUUUAAUGUUUGAUGUUCUAACGUGGACCCGUGAUCCGGGUUGCGGACAGUGUCUGGUGGGUAGUUUGACUGGGGCGGUCUCCUCCUAAAGAGUAACGGAGGAGCACGAAGGUUGGCUAAUCCUGGUCGGACAUCAGGAGGUUAGUGCAAUGGCAUAAGCCAGCUUGACUGCGAGCGUGACGGCGCGAGCAGGUGCGAAAGCAGGUCAUAGUGAUCCGGUGGUUCUGAAUGGAAGGGCCAUCGCUCAACGGAUAAAAGGUACUCCGGGGAUAACAGGCUGAUACCGCCCAAGAGUUCAUAUCGACGGCGGUGUUUGGCACCUCGAUGUCGGCUCAUCACAUCCUGGGGCUGAAGUAGGUCCCAAGGGUAUGGCUGUUCGCCAUUUAAAGUGGUACGCGAGCUGGGUUUAGAACGUCGUGAGACAGUUCGGUCCCUAUCUGCCGUGGGCGCUGGAGAACUGAGGGGGGCUGCUCCUAGUACGAGAGGACCGGAGUGGACGCAUCACUGGUGUUCGGGUUGUCAUGCCAAUGGCACUGCCCGGUAGCUAAAUGCGGAAGAGAUAAGUGCUGAAAGCAUCUAAGCACGAAACUUGCCCCGAGAUGAGUUCUCCCUGAGACUUAAAGUCUCCUGAAGGAACGUUGAAGACGACGACGUUGAUAGGCCGGGUGUGUAAGCGCAGCGAUGCGUUGAGCUAACCGGUACUAAUGAACCGUGAGGCUUAACCUU
rnacentral:rRNA from 1 species